rnacentral:rRNA from 1 species
UAAGGAAUAUUGGUCAAUGGACGCAAGUCUGAACCAGCCAUGCCGCGUGGAGGAUGAAGGUCCUCUGGAUUGUAAACUUCUUUUAUCUGGGACGAAAAAGGGCCUUUCUAGGUCAACUGACGGUACCAGAUGAAUAAGCACCGGCUAACUCCGUGCC